GACGAACGCUGGCGGCGUGCCUAAUACAUGCAAGUCGAACGCAUUUUCUUUCACCGUAGCUUGCUACACCGAAAGAAAAUGAGUGGCGAACGGGUGAGUAACACGUGGGUAACCUGCCCAUCAGCGGGGGAUAACACUUGGAAACAGGUGCUAAUACCGCAUAAUUCCAUUUACCGCAUGGUAGAUGGGUGAAAGGCGCUUUUGCGUCACUGAUGGAUGGACCCGCGGUGCAUUAGCUAGUUGGUGGGGUAACGGCCUACCAAGGCUGCGAUGCAUAGCCGACCUGAGAAGGUGAACGGCCACACUGGGACUGAGACACGGCCCAGGCUCCUACGGGAGGCAGCAGUAGGGGAUCUUCGGCAAUGGACGCAAGUCUGACCGAGCAACGCCGCGUGAGUGAAGAAGGUUUUCGGAUCGUAAAACUCUGUUGUUAGAGAAGAACAAGGAUGAGAGUGGAAAGUUCAUCCCUUGACGGUAUCUAACCAGAAAGCCACGGCUAACUACGUG
rnacentral:rRNA from 1 species